AACGAACGCUGGCGGCAUGCCUAACACAUGCAAGUCGAACGAGACCUUCGGGUCUAGUGGCGCACGGGUGCGUAACGCGUGGGAAUCUGCCCUUGGGUUCGGGAUAACUCGCCGAAAGGCGUGCUAAUACCGGAUGAUGUCGUAAGACCAAAGAUUUAUCGCCCAGGGAUGAGCCCGCGUAAGAUUAGGUAGUUGGUGGGUAACGGCCUACCAUGCCGACGAUCGGUAGCCGGACUGAGAGGUUGAUCGGCCACAUUGGGACUGAGACACGGCCCAG
rnacentral:rRNA from 1 species